AACGCACGAGACCUGCGGACCUGCGGAGGGAUCAUUAAUGAGAAGCUGCCCCUCGUGGGUAGACCUCCCACCCUCUGUGAACUUACCUUUGUUGCUUUGGCAGGCCCGUCUUCUGGACCGCCGGCUUCGGCUGGCCCGUGCCUGCCAGAGGAUUCCAAACCCUGUCUGUCAGUGUUGUCUGAGUCUAUAUGAAAUCGUUAAAACUUUUAACAACGGAUCUCUAGAUCGGAAGAGCACACG
rnacentral:misc_RNA from 1 species